ACCGUGAGAUUUUGUCUGGAGGAAGCCUACGGCAAAACUGUGAGUCGACGAACAGAAACAGCAUAUAGGGCCGAGUCUGCGGGUAAGUUGGCACAACACAACAAAGCCCCGGGUUCAGCGGAGGAGCCUGUCCCGGUGUUGCGUUGAGCCGGGAGUAAAUGCUGCGGCUGUACAAUGAAAGUUCA
rnacentral:ncRNA from 1 species